UGAGUUUGCAAUUGAUCCAUGUCAUGUCAUGAGGUGGUGCCUUGUGAAGAGUAUUUUACUUUUAUUGCACUUUCAUUAUUUGCUUAAAUAUGACCUUAUACAUUUAAUCAACAGAUAAAGUGUUGUCCAUUUGCUAAUCAGACAAGGAUGUGUUGUGGAGAGCGGUAAAUGUCCUUGAUCUUUGUACGCAGAAAACAUGCUGGUGGCAGCCUCCUCUCCCAGGCGUUGCCAUGGAGACAAACGACACAGAUUAAUGAGCGGAAAGUUACCAUCCCGACCCAAGACCAGACAGCGGGGGGCAGCCACUUUUACCAUGGACCCAUACGUAUAAAAACCUUGUGUUAGCUUUUGUCUUCUUCUUGGGCGAUCCUGCCAGAAGACACACGUCUCGUGUGCAGCAAAUACCUAGAUAAGACCCGGACAUCUGUAUUGCACAUUCCUUUGGAUUAAAUCCAUUUGCUGUUAACUUUGUCUUAUCAUUGGUCAUCUCUUCCUUGAUCAGCGAACACGCAUAGGGUCCAAACUCACAAAUCCCUAAAAUUUCUUGGUGACCCCGACCUUAAGUCGAGGGAGGUAUACGGGCGUUGGCCAUCGAGAGAUGAGAUCAAGAAGAGUCAUAUGAGAAACACAGGAGUUUUACGGACAAGUCGAGGAUGGUCAUCUGUACUUCUGACUUCUUCAGGUCGCGACCAAAACCAAAGAUCCAGGACACUCUUCCACCACCACUUCCUGCACUUGAUCUUCCUGAGUGGUCAUCUGUCUACCUUAAACAACUCGCUCGUAAGUGGUCAGAACCCGUUGGUCUGGCCCCCACAAGGUCUCUGCUCGUACCUCCAAAGCCAUCCACUUGAAGGGAAAAGCCUAGAUGAUCUGGCGAUUGCUCCUGAAUACUUCAAGGAAGCCUUUGGCCUAUUACACCGUUCACGUAGGUCCAAACCUACCUGGCUCGGUGAUGAUGACCCCACCUACAUUGACACUAUUAGUGUCCCCCCGUUGUGUCCCUGUUGAGUAUAAACUGGCUAAUCAGGUGGUUGCCGGUUUUGAAAAUAUACCUAUAAUUUCCGCUCUGUGCCCUGUUUCUCGUAACGAAAAUGUUGAUCGUAUCAAUUACAUACAUUAUAAUGUGCAACGUUUGGGCAAUUUCAUCCUUGAAGGACUUGAAAGCUGUACAUGACCAACUUAGGGCUACAUGUAUUUAUAAUUUUGACAAGAUGAUUUCAUUGUUGCUGUCGCUCCCCUUGAAAAUUAUGCUGUACUUCCACCACCUCCUGAUUAUCAUGAUGUCGACAUGCCGUGAUUCCAUUGCCCUUGCCCUUCUGUUCUCCUGAUACUUUUUGGGUGAUAUUACUUUUUUAAAAAUGUUUUGCUGUUUUUGAUUUGUCUAGUACUGUCCUGCAGGUUUAAACGUAUGGGUGUUCUGAAUCGUGAGACUAUGCACUUGUUUAAAGGUGUGUUUGGAUGAUUAGAGAGGGUUUUAAUGUUUUCUGUAUUUCUUGAAGGGUUACUUUUGUGUUUUUCGUGUUUGUUUUUGUGAUCUAUUCAAUAGAUCAAGAGAGGGAAUGAAGACUAUUUUCCUUUAAUUGCACUUUCAUUAUUUUCUUAAAUACGACCUUAUACAUUUAAUAAAUAGUGUUGUCCAUUUGAUAAUCAGAAAAGGAUGUGUUGUGCAGCGCGGUGGAUGUCCUUUAUCUUUGUACGCAGAAAACCGGCUGGUGGCAGCCUCCUCUCCCAGCUGUUGCCGUGGAGGCGAACGACACCAAAUAAGGAGCAGAUAGUUAUCUUCAACUGUACGGGCACAUGUGCAAUCGUAACUUUACUUUUGCCCAGGACCAGACUGCGGGGGGUGUCCAGCAGCCACUUUUACAAUGGACCCAUACAUAUAAAAACCUUGUGUUACCAGGCAGCUUUCGUCGUCUUCUUGGGCUAUCCUAACAGAGGACACACGUCUCGUGUGCGGCAGAUACCUAGAUAAGACCCAGACGUCUGUACUGCACAUUCCUUUGUAAUAAAUCCAUUUGCUGUU